rnacentral:rRNA from 1 species
CCUACGGGAGGCUGCAGUGGGGAAUAUUGGACAAUGGGCGAAAGCCUGAUCCAGCCAUGCCGCGUGUGUGAAGAAGGCCUUCGGGUUGUAAAGCACUUUCAGUGGGGAAGAAAGCCUUGGGGCUAAUACCCUCGAGGAAGGACAUCACCCACAGAAGAAGCACCGGCUAACUCCGUGCCAGCAGCCGCGGUAAUACGGAGGGUGCGAGCGUUAAUCGGAAUUACUGGGCGUAAAGCGCGCGUAGGCGGUCUGAUAAGCCGGUUGUGAAAGCCCCGGGCUCAACCUGGGAACGGCAUCCGGAACUGUCAGGCUAGAGUGCAGGAGAGGAAGGUAGAAUUCCCGGUGUAGCGGUGAAAUGCGUAGAGAUCAGGAGGAAUACCAGUGGCGAAGGCGGCCUUCUGGACUGACACUGACGCUGAGGUGCGAAAGCGUGGGUAGCAAACAGGAUUAGAUACCCCUGUAGUC